rnacentral:lncRNA from 1 species
UGAAUAUUUAGUGGCGUUUGGAACCAAAAAGCCGGAAAUUGUAAUUUAAAAAUUGAAGAAAACGGCGCCGUUUCAUUGACGAGUUUAGGGUUCGGUGGUGUUUUUUCUCAAAGCGCCGCAAAAAGCUGUAAGAUUAGUGGCGUUUUAGUUUAAGCGCCACAAAUAUAUUAAAAUUAAACGGCGUCGUUUUGAUGGGAUAUCGGUUUUGGGGUAUAUCCCUACACCCAGCCUCAAAUCCCAUCUUUCAGCCAAAUCCCUAACCCUAAGUUCAGCGCAACAUCUCCGAUUUCCCCUCCUCCGUUUUCUUCAUCUCUUUCAUCUUUCUGUUUG